AAAAGCCGCAGUAUCCUGACUGUGCUAAGGUAGCAUAAUCAUUUGUUAUCUAAAUGAUAACUAGUAUGAAUGGUCUGACGAGAAAAUAACUUUCUAAAAAGAAAAAAAAUUAAAUUAAUUUAAAAGUAAAAAAGCUUUUAAGCUUUAGAAAGACGAGAAGACCCUAGAACCUGUUCUAUUUCCUAUAGUUUGUUGGGGUGACAUUAUUCAAAACAAAUAACUAUUAAAACUUAUUAAUUGACUCUAUCCAUCUUUAUUAAAAAAAAAAAAGGUACUCUAGGGAUAACAGCAUAAUCUUCUUCUAGAGCCCUAAUCGACAAGAAAGAUUUUGACCUCGAUGUUGAAUU
rnacentral:rRNA from 1 species